rnacentral:rRNA from 1 species
GAUGAACGCUGGCGGCGUGCCUAAUACAUGCAAGUCGAGCGAACAGACGAGGAGCUUGCUCCUUCGACGUUAGCGGCGGACGGGUGAGUAACACGUAGGUAACCUACCUAUAAGACUGGGAUAACUUCGGGAAACCGGAGCUAAUACCGGAUAAUAUUUCGAACCGCAUGGUUCGAUAGUGAAAGAUGGCUUUGCUAUCACUUAUAGAUGGACCUGCGCCGUAUUAGCUAGUUGGUAAGGUAACGGCUUACCAAGGCAACGAUACGUAGCCGACCUGAGAGGGGGAUCGGCCACACUGGACCUGGGACACGGUCCAGCCCCCUACGGGAGGCAGCAGUGGGGAAUCUUCCGCAAUGGGCGAAAGCCUGACGGGGCAACGCCGCGUGGGUGAUGAAGGUCUUCGGAUCGUAAACUCUGUUAUUAGGGAAGAACAAACGUGUAAGUAACUGUGCACGUCUUGACGGUACCUAAUCAGAAAGCCACGGCUAACUACGUG